rnacentral:rRNA from 1 species
CCUACGGGUGGCAGCAGUGGGGAAUAUUGGGCAAUGGGCGCAAGCCUGACCCAGCAACGCCGCGUGAAGGAAGAAGGCUUUCGGGUUGUAAACUUCUUUUCUCAGGGACGAAGCAAGUGACGGUACCUGAGGAAUAAGCCACGGCUAACUACGUGCCAGCAGCCGCGGUAAUACGUAGGUGGCAAGCGUUAUCCGGAUUUACUGGGUGUAAAGGGCGUGCAGCCGGAGAGACAAGUCAGAUGUGAAAUCCGCAGGCUCAACCUGCGAACUGCAUUUGAAACUGUUUCCCUUGAGUAUCGGAGAGGUCAUCGGAAUUCCUAGUGUAGCGGUGAAAUGCGUAGAUAUUAGGAAGAACACCAGUGGCGAAGGCGGAUGACUGGACGACAACUGACGGUGAGGCGCGAAAGCGUGGGGAGCAAACAGGAUUAGAUACCCCGGUAGUC